rnacentral:lncRNA from 1 species
UUAAUAAUAGAAAAGAAGAAAUAAAUUUUCAUAUCGCUUCUAUUAACUCCGAAUGUUUACAUAUUAUAUCUAACAUAUAUUAUAAAAGUAUAUAUAUUUAUAUGAAUAAUUCAAAAAAUUACUCAAUCAAUUGUGAAAAUAAAGACAGUGAUGAUAGUUCCAAUGAUAAAACAAAAAAAAAUGCAUCAAGUUGUAAUGAUACACUAAGUACAGACUUUACAUCACUUGAUAAAGAUGUAGAAUUUAAAAAAAAAAUGUACAUAUUUUUAUUAACAUGUUUUGUUUUAUCACUUGCAUGCUCUUUUAGUUCCAAAAAAACAAGAAGUGAAGCAUAUAUAAAACUACAGCAGUUUUUAUUUAAUGAAAAUUAUAUUUGCAAAGGUAUGCAAAAAGGAACCAAUCACCAAAAAAAUAACAAAACUAAUAAUAAAAAUGAAAUCAAUAAUAAAAAUGAUAAAAAUUCACAACAUGAAAAAUAUUUAUAUAAAGACGAAAAAUUAAUUGAACUGAUUAGCAAUUUUAUUAUUUUACCAUUAAUUACGUAUAACUAUUACUUCCCAUUUAUUUGUAAAAACAUGCAUGAAAAAAGUGGUAAUGUCAGUGAUAACGACGAGCAGGUAACAAAUAAGAACUACAACAAUAAUAUCAACAUUACCUGUUGGAACGCCAAAAAAAGAUAUUACAAAGAAUCAUUACUCACAUACAAUUUAAAUAAUAAAAAAAGUAAAAAUAUAUCGGAUACAAUGAAGGAUGAUACUAUGUACGAAAACUGUGGAUGUAUUAUUAACAAUAAGAACUUAGAAACAAAUGGACAUAAUAUAAAUGUACUAAAUGAUGUAUUUAGUUAUGCUAAUGAUCAUUAUAUACAUACCAUAUUACAUAAACAGUAUAACUAUUACUUCAGUUAUUUGUAUGCCAAAAAAAUGUUAAGUUAUGAUAAUGUUUGCUAUCGUAAAAGCAUGAGUAUCAGUUUUGUAAGUCACAUCAUUUUAUCCUUCUUGUAUUCUUUGUUAAAAUAUUCUGGCAACAACACUUCUUGUGAACACAUAUCUGAUGUUGGUUAUAGUGAUGGUAUUAAUCCAAGUACUGACACAGACCCAAUUGGAACUACCGAGCAAACAUCUACUUGUAGGAUGUCUGAAGGAGAUAUCAAUUUAUACGAAUUACUAUGUAUAAACAACGAAAAAGUAAGUAAUAAAGUUUUAAAAAAGAAUAAAUGUGAAGAAGAUUGUAUUUAUUAUUUUUUAAAACACUUUUAUCAUGCUUUAUUAACAAUAAAAGAAGAAACGACAAAAAUUUUAUAUAUUUAUAAAGAAACAUUUAUUGAAAAUAUAAAAAAUAUAAUUUAUGUUUCGUCAUCUUAUGUAUAUACACUAAGUGGUAAUCAUCGCAUAAAU